GAGGCCUUAGCUUAAUUAAAGUGUCUGAGUUGCAAUCAGGAGAUGUGNUUUAUUCUUACAGGUCUU
rnacentral:tRNA from 1 species